ACUCAGCUGGUAUGAUGGAGUAUUCCAAACAGAAAACCAGCUGUGAUCUCUGGCACUUCCAAUUCCAAUUAAGAGCUUUGUUCAUUUAACUUAAGGAUUUACAUCACUUUAACAUAUCUUGUCAAGUAAGUAACACUUGAAAUGACCCCAUAAAUGUCCCUUAAGAAGAACAAAUUGCAAAUCAUCUCAAAAGGAAACAACAGAUCAUCAGACCAAAGCAGGAAAUAAGAAAGGCCUGAGAACAGCUGGGUAACAGCAUUUCAGCUCAUCCAAGGAAGCCUAGGAUUUCUUGUCAGUGGAAAUAAUAAGAAAAAAGCUGCUUAUUGCAGAGCCAUGUAGAAUUAUCGGGUGGAAGUCAGAGAAAGAGACGGCGGGUCAACAGCUCCCAGCAGACAGCGUGACUCAGCAGGAAAGCCCGUGGGAAUCAGAGCUUUGGGACCAGAGUGCCCUGGCCCCGCAAUCCUCACCAAGUGGCUGGCGCUCAGAACCCCAGGUGUUGUAAUCAGUAAAAGGGUGGCGGUAAUCACUUCUACCUCAUUGGGUUACUAUACAAAGCACGAAAAUGGAUCAAUAUUUAAAAAAAAAAAACCAGCCCUCUCCUAAAACAGAGGAGAACUAUAUGGAUGUCAAUCCAAUUAUUACUAUUAACCAUGUGUUCAAGUCAUGAGGUUGUCUACUUAAUUAUGUCCUUAAAGUUUGUUGACCUUAAAUAAGGUGAUACAGAAAAUAUGAUGAAGUAUGGGGUUUAUUUGAGUACAGAGCUUGAGAACGGUCACCCGGAAAACACAGACCCCAAAGGGACAUGCUCUAAAGUGGGGAAGCUAAGGCUGUGCUUACAUAGGUAGAGAUGGUUUCGGCAGGUUGCAAUGUUUUCCGUGCAAGGCUAGAUACAUGUCAUAGCGAUUUGAUUAGGGUGGCUUGCUCCAUUCCAUGGAAGAUGGCUGUAAUGUUCUGUGAGGACAAGAGUAAUGUUCUGAGGGGUCACCACUCAGAGGGUCUUAUUUCUGGUGCUACUCGGUCAUUCCUAAUCGUUUACGGGAAAAAGCAGAAGUUGCAACGGCAUGCUAUGUGACUCAGUCCAUUUCUCUCAAGGCUCAGAAUAAAGUUCCAACAGUUUUAAAUUUGAAUUAUUUAAUUUUGCAAGUUCUCCAGAAGACAGUAAGCUCUAAAAGGGAACGAACUAUGGUCGUUGUUCUUAGCAUCUAACAUGGUACCCAUUCAAUAUUUUUUCUUUCUUUCUUCUGCUUUUUGUAGAAGUGGGGUCUUUCUAUGUCGCCCAGGCUAGAUUUGAACCCCUGGGCUCAAGCAUCGUCCCACCUCAGCCUGCCGAGCACCCAGGACUGUAGGUGCAUGCCAGCUGGCAGAUUUUUUUUUUUUUUUUCAGUUUCUUAAAUGAAUGAGUAAAAACACUUACAUGUAGCCAAACCAUAUAAUUUACUAGCUAAAAUGAGCCUUUUUUUUUUUUUUUCUGAAAGGAAGCACUGUUAGCAAUUACUCCAGGAAACAGGUUAAAAGCAGAACUGUCCUGGGCCUGCCGAGACACGGGACGUGGGAUUGCUCGAGAGAUCCAGCUCUCGCUGUGUGUUGAAAUAUAGUUCAGGGCACACUGCUCAGGGCUGGGACUGCCCUGCGUAUAUGACAGUAUUAAGUCAUCUCACCUGCAUAACAACACAGCGAGGUUGGUACUGUGACUACUCACAUUCAACAAAUGUGUAUGGACCACCUGCUGUCUUCCAAGUCUUCCAGAAUCUUGGAAUGCAUCAAAACACAACAAGCAAGAUGUCUGUCCUUUCAGAGCAGGAGAUGAGGAAGACAGACAGUAAAUCACAAACAUAGCAAACAAGUAAAUUACAUAGUUUGCUAAAAGGUACUGGGGCUACAGAUGAAAGAAGGGCAGAGCCGGGGGAUUCAGUGUUGAAUGAGGAAACUCAGGUAGAGAACACCAAGUCAGCAGCCGACAUCUCCAGCUGGCUAGUAACAGAGCCCCAUUCUAACUUGGGCAAUCUGGCCACGUUCCUGCUCUUCACCUGGACUCUGCCUUCUCUUUCAGUUCUGACGUGCGUCAAACCGUGCAGCAUGUUCAAAUUCAUUCAAAUCCAUCAGUGGCACAGAAGAACACACAAAAUCUGGCAAUACUUCCUUGAACUAAACUCAGUGUCCGCCCCCCCAACCCCCGAUUGAUGCCAGACAUUUGCCACCCUGGGGACUUGAUCUGAGUGACCUUGGGUUCAUAGGAGAUGCUGGGCCCUUGGAAUUGAUUGUCUACCCUGUAGGAAUGGAGGCCACAUCUCUGUUCUGCCUGGAGAACUUUUUCAUCAUGAGUUUGUGGAAUCCGCCAGCCAAGCCCACCAGACAGGACUAAACAAACGACUCUAGGGGGAAAGGCCAGGCUUCCUGAAAGUCUAAAUUGCUUGAACUAAUGCUGGCAUUUCAGCAUUUUGAGCCAUUCAAGCCACAUGAUGUCAAACUUCCUCUCCUCCACCCCCAUCUCCUCACCCUGCUCUCUUCUGCCUCUUGACCUUCCUCAUCUUGUGGCUCUGGCAAAACUCCAGGGUGGCUAUUCAACCUGUCUCAACACACCCUGUGCCAAAAAAAAAUAAAAAGAAGGAAAAAAAAAAGGGGGCAAUUUCUGUCUCCAGGGCAAGGGCUGCUGGGCUCAGCCGGGUGGAUGUUGCCAAGAGCGCAGCAAUAGCUCCAGGCUAGGCAGGGAGCACAAAGGAAUCUUUAAAUUUAAAACUCACUGCAGAAAGGAAUUGAGCACAUUCUCAACAUUCUGAGUCUGUGUGUUUAUGUUUAAAUAUUCCAACCACUAGCUUACAUACCAUCUAGUAAGUAAAUCACGGUGAAUAUUUAUCGAGGACCUACUAUAUGCAAGGCACUCUGCUCACCAUUAUUUACUUGUGGGGACACUAUGGCUUUCACCCAAAGCUGUCAUUCUCUAGGCUGCCUUUUCAUAUCUACAAAGCAAGGGAGUUUACAUUGACAGUCUCCAGAAAUUCAGCUUUAAUGGCUGGGUGCAGUGGCUCAGCCAUUGUAUCAUUGUAUCAUUGUAUUGAUAUGCCUGUAAUCUCAGCACUUUGGGAGGCUGAGGCAGGCAGAUUGCUUGAGUUCAGAAGUUCGAGACCAGCCUGGGCAACAUGGUGAAAUCCUACAGAAAACUCUAUAAAAUUUUUUUUUAAUUAGUUGGGUGUGGUGGCUUGCACCUGUGGUCCUAGAUACUCGGGAAGCUAAGGUGGGAGGAUGGCUUGAGCCCAGGAGGUAGAGGUUGCAGUGAGCUGUAAUUGCGCCACUGCACUCCAGCCUGGGUGACAGAGCCAGACUGUGUCUCAAAAAAGAAAAGAGAAAAAAAAAGAAAAAGAAAAAUUCAGCUCUAAAAUUGUGACUCGUUCCUUGCUCUACUGUGAGCAUCCUGAAAGCAAUUGUGUCUCCUUUCUCUCUCUCUCCCAGCAUCUAGCACAGGCCAUGACAUGGAGGAAAUGAUGGGUAAACGUCCAUUGAGCAAAUCAAACUUCUGAAAUAAGGCUCUUCAAGAAGGUUUCAACAACCAACCAAAGGCUGACUCACAUGCCCACUCCAAAUGAAUGAGAAAACAUAUUAUAGAAUUUUCCUGUUGUUGAACAGCUGGGCACAGAAAGCUUUUUUCCUCCAUGAAAGAAUAUUGACUAACUUAUGCAAGCCUCUCAAAAUCUAAAAGUAUUUUCCAACACACAGUCAAAUUAUAUGACAAACAGCCCUUUAUUUUAAAAUAAAUAUCAUCUUUUGAAGAACUAA